rnacentral:rRNA from 1 species
UACGUAAGUUGCAAGCGUUAUCCGGAUUUAUUGGGCAUAAAGAGUGCGUAGGCGGUAUUUUAAGUCAGAUGUUAAAUUCCACAGCUCAACUGUGGCUUGCAUUUGAAACUGAUUUACUAGAGACUAGGAGAGGAAAGUGGAACUCACAGUGUAGCGGUGAAAUGCGUAGAUAUUGUGAGGAACACCAGUGGCGAAGGCGGCUUUCUGGACUAGAUCUGACGCUGAGGCACGAAAGCAUGGGGAGCGAACGGG